GCCGCGGCGGCCGAUCUGCGCAGGCGCCCACCGGUCCGGAGCCCACGCGGCCUGGCGCAACGCCAAGUCCCGGCGGAACCGCGGUGUCUCUCGCUUCCCGGAGUAAAGCUCAAGAUCUGGCUGACAAAACAAAACCUGAAAACAUCGCUAAAAGGGAUGAUUACAGCCUCAUGGUUCCACUGGGGCUCGAACCCAGGACCUUCUGCGCGUAAAGCAGAUGUGCUAACCGCUACACUAUGGAACCGCGCGCUGCGGAAGCUCUCCAGGGUGAAAUAAGUGCACAUAAAGACCUUUCUCUUUCCAGUGUGGGAGGAGACUGAGAGUUGAUGCCCAGCGAUCGCUUACGGAGAGGAACUAUCAGAAGGAUCUCCGGCCGCCAAGCGCAGCUCCCACCCACGCUUCUCCUCGGCUGCGGGGGCUCCGCCACUUCUCCGAGAAGGAAGGCGCGGCCGGACCCGCGGCGGGUGUCCCGGGGCAGACGUUGCUCCUGCCUUGAUGUAAGCAGCGCGGAAGGGUCCAGCUGCCUGGCUCUGUGGCGCAAUGGAUAGCGCAUUGGACUUCUAGACAGAUGGAGGCAUUCAAAGGUUGUGGGUUCGAGUCCCACCAGAGUCGCUUUUGUUUUGGUAAGGGAAGUGAAGAAAAAAACCCACCUUAACACCUUUAAAAUUCCCCAUCUCACUCGCGUACUAUGAAAAGGAAGGAAACUCAUCCCAACUCCCUGUGGUGGGUUCUCGUGUGAAGUUGUUGGGAGACCUGUCACCCGAGUCUUCCCAGUCGCCUUCAGGGGGCCCCAGGGUUUCCGGUGACUGGAGGCGGAGAAAUUGGCACGACCUGGUUUUGAGAGCUUGAUCUGUGCCAGCCACUGACCAGGCACCGGGGACACACAGGGACUGUCUGCCUCCCAGCAGAAACAUUGGAGGAGGGAAGACUGACCCAAUUAGACAGGUGUUGAAGG